rnacentral:tRNA from 1 species
GGAGACUUGUCAGAGUGGUCGAACGAGCCCGCUUGGAAAGCGUGUAUACGGGUAACUGUAUCGAGAGUUCGAAUCUCUCAGUCUCCG